UUCCUACGGGGCGCAGCAGUGGGGAAUAUUGCACAAUGGGGGAAACCCUGAUGCAGCGACGCCGCGUGAGUGAAGAAGUAUUUCGGUAUGUAAAGCUCUAUCCGCAGGGAAGAAAAAAGACGGUACCUGACUAAGAAGCCCCGGCUAACUACGUGCCAGCAGCCGCGGUAAUACGUAGGGGGCAAGCGUUAUCCGGAUUUACUGGGUGUAAAGGGAGCGUAGACGGUAUGGCAAGUCUGAAGUGAAAGGCAGGGGCCCAACCCCUGGACUGCUCUGGAACCUGUAGUGCUGGAGUGCCGGAGAGG
rnacentral:rRNA from 1 species